rnacentral:rRNA from 1 species
AUGAAUGCUGGCGAUCUGCAUAACACAUGCAAGUUGAACAAUAUGCAGUCUAAAUAUGCAUAAAGUAGCGUACGGGUGCGUAAUACACGGGAAUAAAUCAAAUAGCUCGGGAUAAAAAUAAAAAAAUACCGAAUAAAAAGAUUGAAUCGUUGUUUGAUCAGCCUGUGCAGGAUUAGGUAGUUGGUUUAUUAAAAGAAAACCAAGCCAAGGAUCCUUAGCUGAUCUGAGAGGAUGAUCAGCCACACUGGGACUGAAACACGGCCCAGACUCUUACGGGAGGCAGCAGUGGGGAAUAUUGGGCAAUGAGCGAAAGCUUGACCCAGCAAGAUCGCGUGAGUGAAGAAGCCGAAUUAAUGGUGUAAAGCUCUUUCGACAAGGAGGAUAAUGACAGUACUUGUAAAAGAAGUCCCGGCUAACUCUGU